rnacentral:rRNA from 1 species
GAUGAACGCUGGCGGCGUGCUUAACACAUGCCAGUCGAACGGAAAGGCCCAAGCUUGCUUGGGUACUCGAGUGGCGAACGGGUGAGUAACACGUGGGUGAUCUGCCCUGCACUUCGGGAUAAGCCUGGGAAACUGGGUCUAAUACCGGAUAGGACGAUGGUUUGGAUGCCAUUGUGGAAAGUUUUUUCGGUGUGGGAUGAGCUCGCGGCCUAUCAGCUUGUUGGUGGGGUAAUGGCCUACCAAGGCGUCGACGGGUAGCCGGCCUGAGAGGGUGUACGGCCACAUUGGGACUGAGAUACGGCCCAGACUCCUACGGGAGGCAGCAGUGGGGAGUAUUGCACAAUGGGCGCAAGCCUGAUGCAGCGACGCCGCGUGGGGGAUGACGGCCUUCGGGUUGUAAACUCCUUUCGCUAGGGACGAAGCGUUUUUGUGACGGUACCUGGAGAAGAAGCACCGGCUAACUACGUG